GAUGAACGCUGGCGGCGUGCCUAAUACAUGCAAGUCGAGCGAACAGAUGAGGAGCUUGCUCCUCUGACGUUAGCGGCGGACGGGUGAGAAACACGUGGAUAACCUACCUAUAAGACUGGGAUAACUUCGGGAAACCGGAGCUAAUACCGGAUAAUAUAUUGAACCGCAUGGUUCAAUAGUGAAAGACGGUUUUGCUGUCACUUAUAGAUGGAUCCGCGCCGCAUCAGCUAGUUGGUAAGGUAACGGCUUACCAAGGCAACGAUGCGUAGCCGACCUGAGAGGGUGAUCGGCCACACUGGAACUGAGACACGGUCCAGACUCCUACGGGAGGCAGCAGUAGGGAAUCUUCCGCAAUGGGCGAAAGCCUGACGGAGCAACGCCGCGUGAGUGAUGAAGGUCUUCGGAUCGUAAAACUCUGUUAUUAGGGAAGAACAAAUGUGUAAGUAACUAUGCACGUCUUGACGGUACCUAAUCAGAAAGCCACGGCUAACUACGUG
rnacentral:rRNA from 1 species